GCAACUUGCUUAAAAAAAUGAAUAAGUAAAAGCGAACAGCUCAAUAUAUGAAAAAAAAUGCUUGCUCCCGGCAUUAGGUGUGACGAACAGAGCGAUAGUCUGUAAACAAAAUAAAUAAACAUAAAACUAAAUAACACUUAAACUAAACAGCUGUUAAUAACAAUAACAAACAGAGAACAUUUAUAUCACAGAAUGUUAACGAAUUCCCCUAUGGGAGCCUGGGAGUGUUUCCCUGUAGAAAUCCGGUAGUAUAAGCUGAACGGGAUCGUCGUUGUCAAUUAAUUGGUUCAAAAUACCUAUUGGAGACAGUGUAUUUUCAUGGAGAGCUAAAUUAUCAGCAAAUUUCCUCUGGAGCCGUAAGGCGUAUUUGCAGAGUGGUACCACAGCAGAUUGUCCAUAAAUGUAUGUAUUAGAAAAUCGUUUUGUAUAGCUUUGAAAAUUCCUGCCAAUACAUUUCCUUAGUAUUCUUCGCUCAAAAAUUUCCAAUUCCCUGGCCACCGUUGGAGAGAUAGAGAACCAUAUGGGGAAUGCAUAUAUGAGUGUCGGCCUGAUAGCUACUUUAUAAAGAAGAAGUUUUGUCGCCUGUGGAAGAUAUUUGCUGUUCAUUAAACCGGAAAACAUACCCGAUAUUCUCUUGGCCCUCGUUAAGAACAAUCUGGCAUGAUUAUUAAAUUUCAUUAACUUGUUAAAAUUAACGCCCAGGUACUUAAUGGUGUCCUUAAAUGGAAUA